AUUGAACGCUGGCGGCAUGCCUUACACAUGCAAGUCGAACGGCAGCACGGGUGCUUGCACCUGGUGGCGAGUGGCGAACGGGUGAGUAAUACAUCGGAACAUGUCCUGUAGUGGGGGAUAGCCCGGCGAAAGCCGGAUUAAUACCGCAUACGAUCUACGGAUGAAAGCGGGGGACCUUCGGGCCUCGCGCUAUAGGGUUGGCCGAUGGCUGAUUAGCUAGUUGGUGGGGUAAAGGCCUACCAAGGCGACGAUCAGUAGCUGGUCUGAGAGGACGACCAGCCACACUGGGACUGAGACACGGCCCAGACUCCUACGGGAGGCAGCAGUGGGGAAUUUUGGACAAUGGGCGAAAGCCUGAUCCAGCAAUGCCGCGUGUGUGAAGAGGGCCUUCGGGUUGUAAAGCACUUUUGUCCGGAAAGAAAUCCUUGGCCCUAAUACGGUCGGGGGAUGACGGUACCGGAAGAAUAGGCACCGGCUAACUACGUG
rnacentral:rRNA from 1 species